GAUUCCGGUAGUAGCGGCGAGCGAACCUGGAUUAGCCCUUAAGCACUCGGUGAAGUAGGUGAACAAGCUGGAAAGCUUGGCGAUACAGGGUGAUAGCCCCGUAACCGACGCUUCAUCGAGCGUGAAAUCGAGUAGGGCGGGACACGUGAUAUCCUGUCUGAAUAUGGGGGGACCAUCCUCCAAGGCUAAAUACUCCUGACUGACCGAUAGUGAACCAGUACCGUGAGGGAAAGGCGAAAAGAACCCCUGUGAGGGGAGUGAAAUAGAACCUGAAACCGUGUACGUACAAGCAGUAGGAGCACCUUCGUGGUGUGACUGCGUACCUUUUGUAUAAUGGGUCAGCGACUUAUAUUCAGUGGCAAGGUUAACCGUAUAGGGGAGCCGUAGCGAAAGCGAGUCUUAACUGGGCGCUCAGUCUCUGGAUAUAGACCCGAAACCGGGUGAUCUAGCCAUGGGCAGGUUGAAGGUUGAGUAACAUCAACUGGAGGACCGAACCGACUAAUGUUGAAAAAUUAGCGGAUGACUUGUGGCUAGGGGUGAAAGGCCAAUCAAACUCGGAGAUAGCUGGUUCUCCCCGAAAGCUAUUUAGGUAGCGCCUCGGACGAAUACUACUGGGGGUAGAGCACUGUUAAGGCUAGGGGGUCAUCCCGACUUACCAACCCUUUGCAAACUCCGAAUACCAGUAAGUACUAUCCGGGAGACACACGGCGGGUGCUAACGUCCGUCGUGGAGAGGGAAACAACCCAGACCGCCAGCUAAGGUCCCAAAGUAUUGCUAAGUGGGAAACGAUGUGGGAAGGCUCAGACAGCUAGGAUGUUGGCUUAGAAGCAGCCAUCAUUUAAAGAAAGCGUAAUAGCUCACUAGUCGAGUCGGCCUGCGCGGAAGAUGUAACGGGGCUAAGCAAUACACCGAAGCUGCGGCAAUAUCUUUUAGAUAUUGGGUAGGGGAGCGUUCUGUAAGCCGUUGAAGGUGGAUCGUAAGGUUUGCUGGAGGUAUCAGAAGUGCGAAUGCUGACAUGAGUAACGACAAAGGGGGUGAAAAACCUCCUCGCCGGAAGACCAAGGGUUCCUGUCCAACGUUAAUCGGGGCAGGGUGAGUCGACCCCUAAGGUGAGGCCGAAAGGCGUAAUCGAUGGGAAACGGGUUAAUAUUCCCGUACUUCUGACUAUUGCGAUGGGGGGACGGAGAAGGCUAGGUGGGCCAGGCGACGGUUGUCCUGGUUCAAGUGCGUAGGCUUGAGAGUUAGGUAAAUCCGGCUCUCUCUAAG
rnacentral:rRNA from 1 species